rnacentral:rRNA from 1 species
UACGGAGGGUGCAAGCGUUAUCCGGAAUCAUUGGGUUUAAAGGGUCCGCAGGCGGUUGAUUAAGUCAGAGGUGAAAUCCCAUAGCUUAACUAUGGAACUGCCUUUGAUACUGGUUAACUUGAGUUAUACUGAAGUAAGUAGAAUGUGUAGUGUAGCGGUGAAAUGCAUAGAUAUUACACAGAAUACCGAUUGCGAAGGCAGCUUACUAAGUAUAUACUGACGCUCAUGGACGAAAGCGUGGGGAGCGAACAGG